rnacentral:misc_RNA from 1 species
UCCGGUUUGUCACCGGCAGUCUCUCUAGAGUGCCCAACUAAAUGCUGGCAACUAAAGAUAAGGGUUGCGCUCGUUGCGGGACUUAACCCAACAUCUCACGACACGAGCUGACGACAACCAUGCACCACCUGUCACCCCUGUCCCCGAAGGGAAAGAUCUAUCUCUAAAUCGGUCAGGGGGAUGUCAAGCCUUGGUAAGGUUCUUCGCGUUGCGGGGUUA